UCCCUCCUAGUCGCACCCGAGCUGUCGUUGCCCUCACGAUCUCAACGCGUCACCCUCGCCCCUCACACGCUUGGACGCCCAUGCCACCAUCUCCACGUCCCAUCAUGAUAGGCACUCAAGUCUCCAGUGCCCAGCUGGAUGCGUUGUCGUGUCCACGUAUGGAGUGCCCAGCAGGCUCCACACUACCGCCUGCACAACCUUCCCUGCUGGCUCCGCACUCUCCACGCUGCCUCCACGACCUGCCCCAUUGACGGCAAGAGCUGUACGGUGACAAGCCUACAAUAGCCUGGUAUGAGCGACAAUCUGUUCAUCAAUGGCUAAACUUAUUAAAGGGAGGUCAAAGCCGUUGCUGGACUUCACCGACAACAUCACCGGAGAGCCCUGUCCCUGAUGGCCGGCGAGAACGUGCCUAGAUCCUCAACUUCUUGGGCGGUGGCGUUUCUGGACUUCGUCGACAACAUCAACGGAGAGCCAGACAUACCUUUAGAAUUUGGUUUCAAGCGGAGCAAAAGCUACAGAGGGUACCAAAGCUAUCUUUCAUUGUUCAUUUUUGUCAAACAAAGUAAAAUAUGAGCAUUUUCUGCUUGUCAAAGGAGGCCCACAUGCUUGCGCGCAACAGUGAGUAGUACUGAUUUUUCAUAUAUCCCUAAUGACCAUCACUCUGAUACAGUUUGGUUCUUUUAGAAAGGCAGAAUAGACCAAUAUAUUUUCCAUAAUAUAAUUAUUGUCCUCUCAACAACUUGGUACCUAAUAUCUUAAUACCUAAUUUACUCAGGAUGGGUUAGGCAUGAUGAAGACAUUCUGUUCCAAGUGUGAGCUAGUAAAGUUUUCUUGUUAUCAUGGAGGCGGUUGUACUCCCUCCAUACUAGAAAUACAUGACGUUUAGGACAUAAUUGUGCUUACCAAGGAGUCAUUAAUUAGGGGGUAAUCUUUCGGUUUUGCUCUUAUUAAAUAGAGGCACGGGUGUACCCCAGACAUGAAACAUUCUUUGUUCUAAUGGUU